CCCAUUCAUUUUCAAUGGAAGCGGUGAGAAGCGCACAGGGCGGAAACCUUUGGGCGGCGGUGAAAAAUAUAAACUUUUCCCAAAUUUAUGCAAAUCACUAGCGGCGACUGCUGGGCGAUGGCCAAUCAUAUCGAGUGGUUCCCAUGACGAAUUUCAUGCUAUACAACCCACGGCUGGAGACUUUCUUCAGCAAAGAUGGCUGACAAAAAUACUAGGAUGGAAGCAAAUGGAUUCCUGAAACAACCAGCAAACCAGGCUGUCGUCUUGUGAAACCGUGGAUGUAAAGAAUCUAGCUAAAGCAUUUACUGCAAAUUGAAUGUACAAUUUUGUAAGCUUGCCUUGCUGAUAUUUGCUAUGCAGCUGAAGUAAUGUAGGUAGCUAACUAUUUUCUUGCUUGUUGUGCAGUGGAGGAUAAACAUACCUGUAUGCCUAUGGAUGUGUAGCUAGCUAUGUAGCCGAUCUGUGGAUGGACCCUGAAACGUUUUGUAUAAAUAUUAGUUCAGAACUUAGCUAUGAACCUCAGCUAUCAUAGCCGGUUGUAUCAACUUCAAAACAGUCUGAAUGACAUUAAUGAAGGCUAUGGAUUGAGUAUAAUAUAACUUUGUACCAAGGAUGCAAGUCGUAUAUACAUGUAGUUAUUACCAUGCAUGAGAUCCCCACAUUGUAACCUAUACAUUUAAUAUAUUCACUGAUCAUGUACUCUACCUUGGCAAAUAAAGGUGCAGUUCAGGUA